CUUCCUCCAGGAGAGUUGGGUGAAGUAGGUCCUGUGGAUGUGACUUUCCUAAAGCUGAUCUCACUCAGGCCUCAUGGGAACCCCUGUGAGUGGGUGUUCCUGAGCCUACAGAUCACAUCCUCGAGGAACUCCUGGAUCCCAGGCUGAUAUCCCACAUGGGUCAAAAAUGUCCCUGCAGUCCCAGGCAUCACAUCCACACCAUAAACCCUCCUGAAUGAGAGUUGCCCUCCAUGAUCCAUUGAAGAGGAAUCUCAGACUUUGCCAGGACUGGACCAGAUCACCGACACCAUCUCCCCUGACUCCA